UACGUAGGGUGCGAGCGUUAAUCGGAAUACUGGGCGUAAAGCGUGCGCAGGCGGUUUUGCAAGCCGGAUGUGAAAUCCCCGGGCUUAACCUGGGAAUGGCAUUUGGGACUGCAAGGCUGGAGUGCGGCAGAGGAGACUGGAAUUCCUGGUGUAGCAGUGAAAUGCGUAGAUAUCAGGAGGAACACCGAUGGCGAAGGCAGGUCUCUGGGCUGACACUGACGCUCAUGCACGAAAGCGUGGGAGCGAA
rnacentral:rRNA from 1 species